AACGAACGCUGGCGGCAUGCCUAACACAUGCAAGUCGAACGAGACCUUCGGGUCUAGGGGCGCACGGGUGCGUAACGCGUGGGAACCUGCCCUUAGGUUCGGAAUAACUCCCCGAAAGGGGUGCUAAUACCGGAUAAUGUCUUCGGACCAAAGAUUUAUCGCCGUUGGAUGGGCCCGCGUUGGAUUAGCUAGUUGGUAGGGUAAAAGCCUACCAAGGCGACGAUCCAUAGCUGGUCUGAGAGGAUGAUCAGCCACACUGGGACUGAGACACGGCCCAGACUCCUACGGGAGGCAGCAGUGGGGAAUAUUGGACAAUGGGCGAAAGCGUGAUCCAGCAAUGCCGCGUGAGUGAUGAAGGCCUUAGGGUUGUAAAGCUCUUUUACCCGGGAUGAUAAUGACAGUACCGGGAGAAUAAGCUCCGGCUAACUCCGUG
rnacentral:rRNA from 1 species